rnacentral:RNase_P_RNA from 1 species
AAGGCACGACAGGCGGCUGCUGAAGUCUAGCUUUAGAGGAAAGUCCGGGCUGCAAUGAGACAUGGUUCCAUCUAACAGAUGGCUGGGGUAACCCAAGGGAAAGUGCAACAGAAAUUAAACUACCGCGAAAGCGGAAAAGGUGAAACGGCGGGGCAAGAGCCCACCAGCGUUUUUAGCAAUAAAGACGGCUUUGUAAACCCAACUUGCAGCAAGAAGAGAUGGUUUAGUCUCAUAUUUUUACUCUUCGCUUGAGCGGCGCUGUGAAGCGUUGCCUAGAUAAAUAGUCGCCCACGACAGAACCCGGCUUACGGCGCGCCUUGCGC